GAUGAACGCUGGCGGCGUGCUUAACACAUGCAAGUCGAACGAAGCACUUUAUUACAAUUUCUUCGGAAUGACGAUUUAGUGACUGAGUGGCGGACGGGUGAGUAACGCGUGGGUAACCUGCCUUAUACAGGGGGAUAACAGUUAGAAAUGACUGCUAAUACCGCAUAAGCGCACAGGAUUGCAUGAUCUGGUGUGAAAAACUCCGGUGGUAUAAGAUGGACCCGCGUCUGAUUAGCUGGUUGGUGAGGUAACGGCCCACCAAGGCGACGAUCAGUAGCCGACCUGAGAGGGUGACCGGCCACAUUGGGACUGAGACACGGCCCAAACUCCUACGGGAGGCAGCAGUGGGGAAUAUUGCACAAUGGGGGAAACCCUGAUGCAGCGACGCCGCGUGAGUGAUGAAGUAUUUCGGUAUGUAAAACUCUAUCAGCAGGGAAGAUAAUGACGGUACCUGACUAAGAAGCACCGGCUAAAUACGUGCCAGCAGCCG
rnacentral:rRNA from 1 species